rnacentral:rRNA from 1 species
UACGGAGGGUGCGAGCGUUGUCCGGAAUCACUGGGCGUAAAGGGCGCGUAGGCGGCCUGAUAAGUAGGGGGGUGAAAUCCUGCGGCUUAACCGCAGGGCUGCCUUCUAAACUGUCAGGCUCGAGCACAGUAGAGGCAGGUGGAAUUCCCGGUGUAGCGGUGGAAUGCGUAGAGAUCGGGAAGAACAUCAGUGGCGAAGGCGGCCUGCUGGGCUGUUGCUGACGCUGAGGCGCGACAGGCGUGGGGGAGCAAACAGGAU